CCCUUAGAUGUUCUGGGCUGCACGCGCGCUACACUGAUGCAUGCAACGAGUUUUCGACCUUGCCUGAAAAGGUUGGGUAAUCUGUUUAACAUGUGUCGUGAUGGGGAUAGACCAUUGCAAUUAUUGAUCUUCAACGAGGAAUUCCUAGUAAGCGCGAGUCAUCAGCUCGUGCUGAUUAUGUCCCUGCCCUUUGUACACACCGCCCGUCGCUCCCACCGAUUGAGUGAUCCGGUGAAUGAUUCGGACCAGCGUGCUGCUCAGAUCCUGCGCAGUGUGCUGGGAAGUCUAGUGAACCUUAUCACUUAGAGGAAGGAGAAGUCGUAACA
rnacentral:rRNA from 1 species